CAGGGCAACAAGAGCAGCUGGCCUCCAGAGAUAGAGAGGGACAGAGAGGUGUAGAGUGAGAGGGGGUGUGUGAGGAAAACAAAACAACAAGAAAAACAGUGAGAGUGAAUGAGUGUGGAAAGACGGCGCCAGAAGAGAGCGACGGAGGGGGAGUGGAGGCAGAGGGGAGGGGAGAGACUUACUGCCAGUGCAAAAGACUAAGGAGAGAGAGCAUAGUAGAGGAGGUACACAGACUCUCUCGGAAGACGAGAGCAGCACAAAGAAGCAGUAAGUGAACACAGACUUUUAAAAGAGAGAAACUGCUGGAAACUGCCAUACAGACAACUGACAACCCAGAGAACUAAAGAUACAGAACCUUUAAAAGGACAAAGGUAAAAUCUUUCAGUCUGGAAAACUGGAAUAAGCUAAUUAGAUGAGGUGAAACGGCGUAGAGGAGACCACACAAGGUAUAGGAAUAAGAAGAGGGGGAUGGUGAAAGAGAGAGUGUUUAAUGGACAUUUGAAAAACUUUGAGAGAAGUGGAUAAACUCUGUACUGAAGUUGGAGAGACUGAUACAUUGCCAAACUCAUUCACUCCCAAAGGUGCUGUGCCAUAAGUUCAAAGCAUUACCCCAAAGCUAUUUGGAUCCAUCCCCAGUCUCCCUCUGUGUGUGACUUGACCAGGGGAAUCCAAGAUGGAGGUGAGGGAGGAGGUGUUGGACAUCCUAAAUAAGGUGUGGACUAAACUACAGAACCUCCCUCAGGCCAACUCGCUGGAGCUGGGGGCCUUCUUCAUAAUCAUCCUCUUCGUCGCCACUUUCCUGUUUAUGAUUGUUCUAUCCUGCGUUCACUGCUGUUGCUGUGGAAAGCCUAAAUACCAGGGCUCCCGGGUCCAACCCUUACAGGCUGUCUGAGGAGUAGGGGACAGUGGCCCAGUUGCAAUACUUAUAAAAUGCACCCUUCCCUCCCUUCAAGGAAGGGAGGAAAGAGCAAAUUCAAGGGAGGAACCAAGGAAGGAGGGAUGCUCUCUAAAGUAUUGGCAUUGCCUGAACAAUGUAGUUUGGAGGGGACAUACAGACUGCUAUGAAGAAUCCAUGUGUGUAUAAAGGCUGAUGAGCAAUGGCAGAAGUCAUUAAGACUACUCAGCAGUAGUUGUAAACAGGACAAUGAUGCACUAGGAACAGAGCACUGUGAGCCUUGUUUCUGCGCUGUUGUUCUGUCUGACUCGGUCUGAGAACACAAACCACUCCAAGGUGGACAAAAACAGAUCUACACAAUUUUUCUCAUGUGAUUUUAACCUGAAAGAGCUGGUUUUAUAUGUUGUGUGUUUUGUAUAAAAAGAUACAUUAGAAAUGCCUUUAGUUUUGUAUCUUGUUCAUUGAAAGGUAUUUUUUCAUGUCCAUAAUUUCAAACCCCUCUCUGUUCUCCUUUAAGACCCCACUGGGAAAAGUUCUGAAGUUCCAAACUUGUUUUCAUUUAGCUCUGUUUUCCACGGGAACGGGACAGACCAAUAGAGAGUGCCCUCUGCUGUUGCAAUGAGCACAAAACAUUUAAGCCUAGUGGUUGCAAGGGGCCAGUAACCGAAAGGUUGCUGGAUCGAAUCCCCGAGCUGACAAUGUAAAAAUCUGUUGUUCUGCCCCUGGUCAAGGCAGUUAACCCACUGUUCCCCAGUAGGCAUUCAUUGUAAAUAAGAAUUUGUUCUUAACCUUUAUUUAACUAGGAAAAUCAGUCUGUGCCAAAGCAAAAAGUGGUGUUGCGACCUUGUCUAAGAGCAUUUCGUAUUAUUCUGUAUGUCAAUCCGAAACACCCCAUAUAGUAUGUUAUGAUACAUUUCGUAUGGUAUAAAUAAAGGUUAAAUAAUGUUUUUUUAAUGUAUUAAUUAGUGGAUAUCUAUUACCCAUUUCAUAUGAUUUGUCACGAAUUACAAUUCGUAUUAUAUGUUACGAAUGUGCAAAACGUGCAAUAUGUCAUGAAUUUGCUAAAUGUACAAUACAGAGAAUGAUCAAAAUGUAUGAUAUGUUAUGAAUUCUAGGUAGGUUGCUAGGUGGCUAACAAUAGCUCGCUCGCUAACGUUAGCUAGGCUAGGGGUUAGGGUUAGCUAACAUGCUAAGUAGUUUCAAAGUAGUUAAAAUGUAGUAGGUCGUUGGAAAGUUGCUAAUUAGCUAAAAUGUUAAUGUUGUCCUUGAUGAGAUUCAAACUUUCAACUUUUGGGUUGCUAGACCUUCGCAUUAUACGCCUGACCAACCACCCAACUUUUCAUUUUUGCCUUGAGUAACCAUCUGUCUUAUGUAUCCAUACCAAAUGCAUCUCAGAUUUAAGUACAGAAUAACACAAAAUUCCCUGAGACCAGAUUCAGUAUUAAUGCAGUAUUGUAGAAAUAGGUCACCUUAUAAAUGGUGAUUCGUGAUUAUUCGUGGUUAUACCAUCUCUGAUUGCACAGUACUUGAUUAUAAUUCAUUUAGAGUGAAACAAGCAGUGUUUUUAUCUUAUAUUGAUCUGUAGUUGUUACAGGAGCAAUGUGUUUGUUUACAAGUUUAGCAUUAUUUAAUGUUUAAGUGCUAAUAAAAGUAAGUACAAUAAAGAAUUAAAAAAUGUA